UAAUGGUGUUAUGUUUUCAAAUUCAAAUCAACUAAUCAAGCUUCUAUGAUUUUGAACAAAAAAUGGCAAUGGCUCCGUUCAAAAAGCCUCAAAUUCCCGAUCUCAAUUUUCCCGCACCACGCGAGGAUGAAGCUGGAUCCUCUCAGAUGCUCACCAUGCCAGCCACCAAAAGAAAGGCAGUUCAUCAGGCCUAUCAGAGUGGGGGCAAAAGGUUUAAGGUGAGUGAGGGCACUGCAAACUUUUCCAAG